CUUCUUCUUCUUCUUCUUCUUCUCUCUCUCUCCCCCCCCCCGGCUCCUUUCUCCUCCCUCUCCCCUUUUAAAUGGUUGUGGCUUCAAUCCUAUCAAAGCAAGGAGCCAGGAAUGAAAAGGAAAACCGGGUGGGGGGGAGGAUGGAGAGAGAGAGAGAGAAGAAGAAGAAGAGGAGG